rnacentral:tRNA from 1 species
AAAAACUUAGUUAAUAAAUAACAUUAGAUUGUCAAGCUAAAAUAAUUAAUAAAAUAAUAGUUUUUU